UGUGCUCCUGAUUCACCACGCACCGCCGCCGGAGUGCCACCUACUACCUCAUGCGUAGCCAACGAAACCGGCACGUGCCAUCAGAACCAGUCACAAACUGCUGUGUAUCGGCCGGAGAUUGCCACGAAACCACUCGCACAUCCAGAUCCGGCACGAAUCUUAUGGGCUGAGAACGCACCACAUAUCGCGAAGUCGCACCUGGGCGCUGCACGGGUCUCUUUUCCCACUGUACGCAGUUGCACUAUUCCCUUUCUAGCUUUCUAUUUUUGGCGCAAAUGGAC
rnacentral:lncRNA from 1 species